rnacentral:misc_RNA from 1 species
GGAAGUAAACGUCGUAACAAGGUUUCCGUAGGUGAACCUGCGGAAGGAUCAUUAUUGUAUAACCGAGGUGCGAGGGCUGUCGCUGACCCGAAAGGUCGUGCACGCCCGAGUGCCCUCACACACAUCCAUCUCACCCCUAUGUGCACCACCGCGUGGGUCCCCCUUUGGCUUGUUCGGAGGGGGGCUUACGUUUUCACACAAACUUUGUAUGCAAUGUAGAAUGUAUUUUUUGUUUUUGCGAUCACGCAAUCAAUACAACUUUCAACAACGGAUCUCUUGGCUCUC